GGUUAAGCGACUAAGCGUACACGGUGGAUGCCCUGGCAGUCAGAGGCGAUGAAGGGCGUGCUAAUCUGCGAUAAGCGCCGGUAAGGUGAUAUGAACCGUUAUAACCGGCGAUACCCGAAUGGGGAAACCCAGUGUGAUUCGUCACACUAUCAUUAACUGAAUCCAUAGGUUAAUGAGGCGAACCGGGGGAACUGAAACAUCUAAGUACCCCGAGGAAAAGAAAUCAACCGAGAUUCCCCCAGUAGCGGCGAGCGAACGGGGAGGAGCCCAGAGCCUGAAUCAGCAUGUGUGUUAGUGGAAGCGUCUGGAAAGGUGCGCGAUACAGGGUGACAGCCCCGUACACAAAAGCGCAUGUGCUGUGAGCUCGAUGAGUAGGGCGGGACACGUGGUAUCCUGUCUGAAUAUGGGGGGACCAUCCUCCAAGGCUAAAUACUCCUGACUGACCGAUAGUGAACCAGUACCGUGAGGGAAAGGCGAAAAGAACCCCGGCGAGGGGAGUGAAAAAGAACCUGAAACCGUGUACGUACAAGCAGUGGGAGCACAGGUUUACCUGUGUGACUGCGUACCUUUUGUAUAAUGGGUCAGCGACUUAUAUUCUGUAGCAAGGUUAACCGUAUAGGGGAGCCGUAGGGAAACCGAGUCUUAACCGGGCGUUAAGUUGCAGGGUAUAGACCCGAAACCCGGUGAUCUAGCCAUGGGCAGGUUGAAGGUUGGGUAACACUAACUGGAGGACCGAACCGACUAAUGUUGAAAAAUUAGCGGAUGACCUGUGGCUGGGGGUGAAAGGCCAAUCAAACCGGGAGAUAGCUGGUUCUCCCCGAAAGCUAUUUAGGUAGCGCCUCGUGAAUUCAUCUCCGGGGGUAGAGCACUGUUUCGGCUAGGGGGCCAUCCCGGCUUACCAACCCGAUGCAAACUGCGAAUACCGGAGAAUGUUAUCACGGGAGACACACGGCGGGUGCUAACGUCCGUCGUGAAGAGGGAAACAACCCAGACCGCCAGCUAAGGUCCCAAAGUCAUGGUUAAGUGGGAAACGAUGUGGGAAGGCCCAGACAGCCAGGAUGUUGGCUUAGAAGCAGCCAUCAUUUAAAGAAAGCGUAAUAGCUCACUGGUCGAGUCGGCCUGCGCGGAAGAUGUAACGGGGCUAAACCAUGCACCGAAGCUGCGGCAGCGAACGUAUCACCCAAGACAACUUUACGGAGUUGACGAUUGACGGAGCGAAGCGACGUCAAAGCGUUCAUUAAAGUCGAGUUGGCUUAGGGAUACGUUCGUUGGGUAGGGGAGCGUUCUGUAAGCCUGUGAAGGUGUGUCGUGAGGCAUGCUGGAGGUAUCAGAAGUGCGAAUGCUGACAUAAGUAACGAUAAAGCGGGUGAAAAGCCCGCUCGCCGGAAGACCAAGGGUUCCUGUCCAACGUUAAUCGGGGCAGGGUGAGUCGACCCCUAAGGCGAGGCCGAAAGGCGUAGUCGAUGGGAAACGGGUUAAUAUUCCCGUACUUGGUGUUACUGCGAAGGGGGGACGGAGAAGGCUAUGUUGGCCGGGCGACGGUUGUCCCGGUUUAAGCGUGUAGGUGUGUGUUCCAGGUAAAUCCGGUUCACUUUAACACUGAGGCGUGACGACGAGGCACUACGGUGCUGAAGCAACAAAUGCCCUGCUUCCAGGAAAAGCCUCUAAGCAUCAGGUAACACGAAAUCGUACCCCAAACCGACACAGGUGGUCAGGUAGAGAAUACCAAGGCGCUUGAGAGAACUCGGGUGAAGGAACUAGGCAAAAUGGUGCCGUAACUUCGGGAGAAGGCACGCUGACACGUAGGUGAAGUGAUUUACUCAUGGAGCUGAAGUCAGUCGAAGAUACCAGCUGGCUGCAACUGUUUAUUAAAAACACAGCACUGUGCAAACACGAAAGUGGACGUAUACGGUGUGACGCCUGCCCGGUGCCGGAAGGUUAAUUGAUGGGGUCAGCGUAAGCGAAGCUCCUGAUCGAAGCCCCGGUAAACGGCGGCCGUAACUAUAACGGUCCUAAGGUAGCGAAAUUCCUUGUCGGGUAAGUUCCGACCUGCACGAAUGGCGUAAUGAUGGCCAGGCUGUCUCCACCCGAGACUCAGUGAAAUUGAACUCGCUGUGAAGAUGCAGUGUACCCGCGGCAAGACGGAAAGACCCCGUGAACCUUUACUAUAGCUUGACACUGAACAUUGAGCCUUGAUGUGUAGGAUAGGUGGGAGGCUUUGAAGUGUGGACGCCAGUCUGCAUGGAGCCGACCUUGAAAUACCACCCUUUAAUGUUUGAUGUUCUAACGUGGACCCGUAAUCCGGGUUGCGGACAGUGUCUGGUGGGUAGUUUGACUGGGGCGGUCUCCUCCUAAAGAGUAACGGAGGAGCACGAAGGUUGGCUAAUCCUGGUCGGACAUCAGGAGGUUAGUGCAAUGGCAUAAGCCAGCUUGACUGCGAGCGUGACGGCGCGAGCAGGUGCGAAAGCAGGUCAUAGUGAUCCGGUGGUUCUGAAUGGAAGGGCCAUCGCUCAACGGAUAAAAGGUACUCCGGGGAUAACAGGCUGAUACCGCCCAAGAGUUCAUAUCGACGGCGGUGUUUGGCACCUCGAUGUCGGCUCAUCACAUCCUGGGGCUGAAGUAGGUCCCAAGGGUAUGGCUGUUCGCCAUUUAAAGUGGUACGCGAGCUGGGUUUAGAACGUCGUGAGACAGUUCGGUCCCUAUCUGCCGUGGGCGCUGGAGAACUGAGGGGGGCUGCUCCUAGUACGAGAGGACCGGAGUGGACGCAUCACUGGUGUUCGGGUUGUCAUGCCAAUGGCACUGCCCGGUAGCUAAAUGCGGAAGAGAUAAGUGCUGAAAGCAUCUAAGCACGAAACUUGCCCCGAGAUGAGUUCUCCCUGAGACUUAGAGUCUCCUGAAGGAACGUUGAAGACGACGACGUUGAUAGGCCGGGUGUGUAAGCGCAGCGAUGCGUUGAGCUAACCGGUACUAAUGAACCGUGAGGCUUAACCUUAC
rnacentral:rRNA from 1 species